UACGUAGGUGGCAAGCGUUGUCCGGAUUUAUUGGGUUUAAAGGGUGCGUAGGCGGUUCUUUAAGUCAGUCGUGAAAUACGGCAGCUUAACUGUCGCGGUGCAAUUGAUACUGGAUGACUUGAGUACAGACGAGGUAGGCGGAAUUGACGGUGUAGCGGUGAAAUGCAUAGAUAUCGUCAAGAACACCGAUAGCGAAGGCAGCUUACUAGACUGUAACUGACGCUGAGGAACGAAAGCUAGGGGAGCAAACAGG
rnacentral:rRNA from 1 species